rnacentral:snoRNA from 1 species
UUUCCACUACAGAUGCGAGAAAAAGAAGAUUCUCAUGUUUUCUGUCUGUCUGGUUGUGGCAGCCAAGAUUGAAUGGGGGAAUACAGGA